GCCAAAGCAGCUAAACCCCCAGCAGGCUUGAAGAAAAGAGGACCGGCUGGCAAGCAAUCUCAGGGAUUGAGCCAGAAGCUUCUAACUGAUAUGCUGAAGCCCGCAGAAAAUUCAGGAAUAUCACCAGAGAAAAAAGUGAGAAAAAUGAGGUCAUCUCCUUUCAACAAGAAGAGUGGUUCUGUUUUGGGCAGAGACAGCACGGAAAAUGAGACCACAGCAAGUGAAGAGAUUAUGGAAGUGCCAGCAAGAUCUAGACCACAAAGGGAGAACCGCAGGCAGACCAAGUAUGUGAUAAGUGACUCUGACAGUGACCAGGCUGAGAAUGAUUCUGACUUUGAUAGUGACCAGGACAAUGAUGAUGAUUUCAGUGAAGAUGAAGACUAAGUUGCUACUUUUCUCUUGAUACAGAGUGGCACUUUAGAUUAGAAAUGGGAAGCCCUGAAC
rnacentral:misc_RNA from 1 species